rnacentral:guide_RNA from 1 species
AAAUAAAUUAUAUAUCUAGGUUUACA